GACGAACGCUGGCGGCGUGCCUAAUACAUGCAAGUCGAACGCACUCUCGUUUAGAUUGAAGGAGCUUGCUCCUGAUUGAUAAACAUUUGAGUGAGUGGCGGACGGGUGAGUAACACGUGGGUAACCUGCCCUAAAGUGGGGGAUAACAUUUGGAAACAGAUGCUAAUACCGCAUAAAACCUAACACCGCAUGGUGUAGGGUUGAAAGAUGGUUUCGGCUAUCACUUUAGGAUGGACCCGCGGUGCAUUAGUUAGUUGGUGAGGUAAAGGCUCACCAAGACCGUGAUGCAUAGCCGACCUGAGAGGGGUAAAUCGGCCACACUGGGACUGAGACAC
rnacentral:rRNA from 1 species